CAAGAGUCAGGCCCUGCAAUUUCCAGACCAGCCCGACAUAGCUGAGGACUUGAAGGACCUGAUCACCCGUAUGCUGGACAAGAACCCCGAGUCGAGGAUCGUGGUGCCGGAAAUCAAGAUCCUGGUGAAGACCAUGAUACGUAAACGCUCCUUUGGAAACCCAUUCGAGGGCAGCCGGCGGGAGGAACGCUCACUGUCAGCGCCUGGAAACUUGCUCACCAAAAAACCAACCAGGGAAUGUGAGUCCCUGUCUGAGCUCAAGACCUAGAAAAUAAGUCCCCUUCCCGCCUGUUGCAAAGUAACGUAAGAGUUCC
rnacentral:lncRNA from 1 species